GGCCUCGUAGCUCAGGUGGUGGAGCGUGCGUUGUACACAGGCAUGGAUGGCGUCCAUGCGUGGGUUCGAAUCCUACUGAGGCUG
rfam:Echinostoma caproni strain Egypt genome assembly, scaffold: ECPE_scaffold0000210